AACAUGGUAUAUCCUUAGAAAGUAUUGGAAGAAAAACUUUUAUAACUUAACUGAUAUUAUGUUAUGUGGCGUGGUACUUUUUGACGAUUUUGUUAGGUAACUAGAUACUUACAAAUAUAAAAAUUGUAAAUGAAAAUAACUUACCUAAAGGAUCACAGCCAAAAACACACUAUUUUUUCGUAAUUUCACUCAUAUUGAAACAGCAGGCAAAACUUAACAAGAACUGGGAUUCAACACUUACAAACGAAAACAAAUUAACAAGAACUUUUGCAAUACCACGAGAAAAUUUCCACAACCGCAUAAACAGCACGGCGGCGUAAGCCAGAGUUUACAAAAAUUUGAAUUUUGACACAUGACAAAAAAACGGCUGCCUAUCUUGGUGGUUUUGUACUCUAGCUAUCCGCUGGAGGCGCUGCCGGCCAUGAAAAAUGUUGCCUGUUUUAAGUGCCCCUGCUUAUCUUGUCAAUUGAUUGUUGAUUAUUUACUGUAAAUGUGUGUAUAUUAAAAUAAUACUAAUUUAACAGUAGAAUCAUUAUUCAUUAGUUUCAUAACAAUUUCAGAAGAAUAUAAAAAAUGUCGUACCUAGUAUGAAAUAAAAAAAUUAUGUAAUUUGUUCGGAGCAAGACAUUUGUUUUCUAAUAAAAUGGUAAGUGGGUAUUAUUUUUAAUAAGAAUUCUUUGCCUUUAAUGUUCGGCUAGUAAAUAUUAAUAUCAAAAAAUGUUUAAACGCAAUAAUUAUUCAGUUUUGGCUGCCAAGUAGUCUCAAGGAGUAAAUACGUAACGAUAAUUACUAAACAGUACUAUAUAGACCCUUCUCUUCCAUGUGUUAAAUAAGUGUACGCAAUACAUUGCUGCUCGAAAAAAAAUUAUUACCUUGCAAUAUUAUUGAAUAUUGUACGAGUAUGUACACCCCACACUGGAUCCAUAGUAUACUUAAUCUAUGACAGCUCACUAGCGUAGGCUACUAUAUAAGGCCCUUAAAGCCCUCCUGAUUUUCAUAAGCUCAUCGACAGCCGCUCCGAGAACACGUCCCUCCAGACCAACACUGUGACCAAGCUCCUCCAAAGCAAAUACCGCCGAUAUCAACGUCGACUUUCUAUUUCACCGAUCCCACCAGGUCCCGCUGCAGAUUCGAACUACAGGAAGGAGACCACCACGUCGUCAAGAAAUCACGGGCCUUGGGGACCCGAAUUGGAUUUGGCAGUGGCCCAGACCCCAAUACAUACUGGAACUUUUAAACUUCCUAAAUAACCUGACACUGUUUAAGAUGUCGGUUGUAAUUACUCUGUAAACCAUGCGGUUUAUAAGUUUGCUUAUUGUAAUGCUUGUUUUUUUUUUCACUUUUCUAAAUAAAAAUUAUAUUGUGCAAUA